GCCGGGAUAGCUCAGUGGUAGAGCAGAGG
rnacentral:tRNA from 1 species